CUUCCAUGAUGAUAGUGGACUGAACCUCUGAAACUUUAAAAAAAUCACCGUAUACUGAGAAGCAGGUAUUCCAUCUGUUGGUCGCAAGGAUAAACACCCAAAUUCCCACAGCAUCCAGAUGAAGUUGUGUACUGUCCAAAGGAUGUUGAGCAAAGACAUUGGGAAGAAUUUGCCUGAAGAAAGGAAGAGACCUAAAAAUAGAUGUCUAAGGGGAUGACAUUGCCAUGUGCCAUUAAUACCUGAACUGCAUUUUAUUUUACAAAAGGCCUCAGGUACUCACAGAGCCCUACAGCAUGGAAUCAGUGUCUGAGAAACCAGGAAGAACUCUGACCAAAGCUAGGAUUUUGCCUGUGUCCUUCAUCACUGUGGGCUCCAAGAUACACUUUACUUGGCCUGUGAAAAACAGCUGAUUCAACCUGAAAAAAUGCAUGGACUUCCUCACUAUUGACUCUGGGUGGACUCCUCUUGCACUGGUGAAGUUCCAGCCUGGGUUACUCCUGUUUAGUCUUAAUACUGAAAUUCUAGAGAGUGGGUACCUAAUCUGGAAACUAGAACAAAGCUCUUGAUGGACUUGGAGAACUAGUUCAAUAUGUUACAUCCACAUUAUCCUAGAUCAGAUUGCCUGGUGGCACAAUGACCAAGCCUUCCCAUCCAUAGAAGACAUGCUUCAGGCAGUCCCCACAGGCCUCUUCCAGCUCUUUUAGAGAGAUCCUUAGGGGUGGCCUUGGUUUUCACUCUAAUUCAAAAUUUCUAUAGCCUUUGUCAGAGACUGGGGUUGUUGAAGGGUGGCUAUCUGUAAGUCUCCAGAAAAGUAUGAUGUGUCUGUCCUAUUAACAAUACAAUUUAAGUAAGCUGUUCGCCCAAAGUCUUGUGUCUUGCAUUAACCAUGUAUCUCUCACUUCAUAUUAAACAAGACACUCAAGUUUUCAUUCUGAAA